UACUAGCAGCUGCCUGCCUUGCCCCCACCACCACCAUCACACCGAACCCCCUCCCUGUUCCGCCUCCUCCGCCCCAAAUCCCCAAAUCCCCUCCUCCGAUCCGCCGCCGUCCUUGAUCCGCCGCAGCCGUUGACCCGCCCAGAAUGGCCGCCGGGCCGCCCUCGCCGUCCGGUAAACCCUACUCGCGCAAAUCUCACGCCAGCUCCAAGGCUCCCAGCGUCCCCUCCUUCGACGCCCACAACGGCCCCCUCCUCCCCACCGUCACCUUCUCGCUGCCCUCCACGACCGCCUCCCGCCGGGAGCUGCGCCGCCGCCUCUCCUCCGAGCUCUCCCAGGUGCGCGCUGCCGCCAAGCGCCUCAACUCCCUCUCGGCUCCCGCCCCCUCCUCGGCGCUCUCCGCCACCGACCCGUCCACGCCGCUCCCGCCGCACCCGCCGGCGUCCAAGCACAAGUCCAAGAAGGGCGGGGGAGCCCCGCACCCGCACCCGCACCCGCACCCGCACCCGCACCCGCACCUCUCGGCGGAGGCGCGGCGCAAGCUCUACGCGCCCGUGUUCAAGACCUGCUCCGUGCUGCUCCAGAGGCUGAUGAAGCACAAGCACAGCUGGGUGUUCAACAAGCCGGUAGAUGCGAGCGCGCUUGGCCUGCACGACUACCAUACAAUCAUCACCAAGCCCAUGGACCUCGGCACAGUCAAGUCAAAGCUAGGGGCCGGACAGUACAAGUCACCACGGGAAUUCGCAGGUGAUGUGCGUCUGACAUUCCAGAAUGCCAUGACGUACAACCCCAAGGGCCAGGACGUGCACUUCAUGGCCGAGCAGCUGCUGAACAUGUUCGAGGAGAAGUGGCCGGAGAUUGAGGCUGAGGUAGCUCAGCUAUCACCACAGCCUCCAACACCGUCCUCAGCGGCACCCAGGAAGCCAAAGGAGAUAGAUAAUUCUAGGGUAUUAGAGAGGUCUGAUUCCACAGUUCAUGCUGCCGCGAUGGAGGCUACCCCGAAGACUCACACCGGCAGACCCCCAGUUUUAAAGAAACCCAAGGCAAGGGAGCCCAAUAAGAGGGAUAUGACAUUCUGGGAGAAGCAGCGGCUUAGCAAUAACCUCCAGGAUUUGCCACCGGAGAAGCUAGACAAUGUUGUUCAGAUCAUAAAGAAGAGGAACUUGUCACUCAGCCAGCAUGAUGAUGAGAUUGAGGUUGAUAUCGAUAGCUUUGAUGUUGAAACAUUAUGGGAGCUUGAUAGAUUUGUGACAAACUAUAGGAAGAGUAUAACUAAGAAUAAGCGGAAGGCUGAGCUUGAGCUUUCUGCGGUAAGGCCGGAUGAAGCUGAUCCUGAUCAGGAGCCAGAGAAGGUAGAACAUGUGAGGCAGGAUGAGCCAGAUCAGGAUCAAAUUCCUGCAGUACAAGAGCCGAUUCCAGAACGAGAAGCAGUUGAUGUUGCGCCACCUAAGGAUAAUGCGGCAGAUGACAAUGAGAGAUUUGUGGGUGAAUCAUCACCUGGUCAUUUGGAAGAUCAGAAGGGAGAGAAUGCUGGUAGAUCAAGUAGUUCUGGAAGCUCUAGCAGUGACUCGGGGUCAUCCUCUAGUGAUACGGACUCAGAUAGUUCAUCAGCAGAUGGUUCUGAUGCUGCACAAUCACCCAGAACAUAGCAUCUAUAGGCCAGACGUUGAUGAGGCACUGGAAAGGCCAUAACAACUUAGGUCAACAAAGGAUUCUAGCGUGAAAUUGCCGAACAAGAUUGGUGUAAAUUUUGGUCAUGUAGGAACUCUAACCAGUGCCAUUAUGUCUGUUGUUUUGUUCACAAAGUGGAUGCCCGAGAUAGCACAUGCAUCGAUUCACCUGUACAACUAUCUGCAGUUGUGUACUUACUGUAGAGUGCCGUGUUUACCUAGUCGUCGAGCUGGAAGUUACAUUGGAAUUGGAUAGGAGGAAACCUGAACACUGGGGCAGUGAAACAAGCGGUGAGGUGAAGACCAGGAACCUGGAGGCCUCGCCCUGUUGUAAGAUUGUACAAUUGCUAUAGUCGUGUAAUUUCUGUUGGUGUCUGCAUCAACAUUAGUUUUAUUUUUUUCAAAAGGAAUCAAGUCAGUACCCUAACGGCUGAGAGUACAGCAGUGCACCUUGCAGUUGGAAUGGUGAAGGAGAAGCCUCAAGACAGUUUGAAUGGUGAUCUAUUGUCUUCACUCUUGCACUCUUUGCUAUAAAGAAAGCAUCCCAAGUAGGGACUCCCAA